rnacentral:rRNA from 1 species
UGGGGAAUUUUGGACAAUGGGCGAAAGCCUGAUCCAGCCAUGCCGCGUGAGUGAAGAAGGCCUUCGGGUUGUAAAGCUCUUUCGGCGGGGACGAAACGGUUAGGGUUAAUAACCCUGACUACUGGCGGUACCCGCAUAAGAAGCACCGGCUAACUACGUGCCAGCAGCCGCGGUAAUACGUAGGGUGCAGGCGUUAAUCGGAAUUACUGGGCGUAAAGCGUGCGCAGGCGGUUUGUUAAGACAGAUGUGAAAUCCCCGAGCUUAACUUGGGAAUUGCGUUUGUAACUGGCAAGCUAGAGUGUAGCAGAGGGGGGUAGAAUUCCACGUGUAGCAGUGAAAUGCGUAGAUAUGUGGAGGAAUACCGAUGGCGAAGGCAGCCCCCUGGGUUAACACUGACGCUCAUGCACGAAAGCGUGGGGAGCAAACAGG